GACCCCUUGGUCAAGUGGUUUAAGACACUGCCCUUUCACGGCAGUAACAUGGGUUCGAAUCCCGUAGGUCGGUCA
rnacentral:tRNA from 1 species